AUUGAACGCUGGCGGCAUGCUUUACACAUGCAAGUCGAACGGCAGCGCGGGCUUCGGCCUGGCGGCGAGUGGCGAACGGGUGGGUAAUGCAUCGGAACGUGCCCAGUAGUGGGGGAUAGCCCGGCGAAAGCCGGAUUAAUACCGCAUACGACCUGAGGGUGAAAGCGGGGGACCGAAAGGCUUCGCGCUAUUGGAGCGGCCGAUGUCGGAUUAGCUAGUUGGUGGGGUAAAGGCUUACCAAGGCGACGAUCCGUAGCUGGUCUGAGAGGACGACCAGCCACACUGGGACUGAGACACGGCCCAGACUCCUACGGGAGGCAGCAGUGGGGAAUUUUGGACAAAGGGGGCAACCCUGAUCCAGCCAUGCCGCGUGCGGGAAGAAGGCCUUCGGGUUGUAAACCGCUUUUGUUCGGGAAGAAAUCCUCUGGGCUAAUACCCCGGGGGGAUGACGGUACCGGAAGAAUAAGCACCGGCUAACUACGUG
rnacentral:rRNA from 1 species